rnacentral:tRNA from 1 species
CCGUGUGUGGCGCAGCAGACAGCGCGCGUGCUUUGGGAGCACGAGGCCGCAGGUUCGAAACCUGCCGCACGGACCA